rnacentral:rRNA from 1 species
UACAGAGGUCUCAAGCGUUGUUCGGAUUCAUUGGGCGUAAAGGAUGUGUAGGUGGUCGUAUUAGUCCGGUGUCUAACCUCUGAGCUCAACUUGGAGACAGCAUUGGAAACGGUACGGCUAGAGUAUGUUAGGGGUAAGCGGAACUCAUAGUGUAGGGGUGAAAUCCGUUGAUAUUAUGGGGAACACCAAAAGCGAAGGCAGCUUACUGGAACAUUACUGACACUGAAACAUGAAAGCGUGGGUAGCGAAUGGG